rnacentral:rRNA from 1 species
GCUCGAGUGGCGAACGGGUGAGUAACACGUGAGUAACCUGCCCUUGACUUUGGGAUAACUUCAGGAAACUGGGGCUAAUACCGGAUAGGAGCUCCUGCUGCAUGGUGGGUGUUGGAAAGUUUCGGCGGUUGGGGAUGGACUCGCGGCUUAUCAGCUUGUUGGUGGGUAGUGGCUUACCAGGCUUUGACGGGUAGCCGGCCUGAGAGGGUGACCGGCCACAUUGGGACUGAGAUACGGCCCAG